ACGGGUGAGUAACACGUGAGGAACCUGCCCCGAAGACCGGGACAACACCGGGAAACCGGUGCUAAUACCGGAUGCCUUCACCGGAUCGCAUGGUCUGGUGAAGAAAUGGAUUCCGCUUCGGGAUGGCCUCGCGGCCUAUCAGCUUGUUGGUGAGGUAACGGCUCACCAAGGCAACGACGGGUAGCUGGUCUGAGAGGAUGUCCAGCCACACUGGGACUGAGACACGGCCCAGACUCCUACGGGAGGCAGCAGUUAGGGAUCUUGCGCAAUGGACGAAAGUCUGACGCAGCGACGCCGCGUGCGGGAUGAAGGCCCUCGGGUUGUAAACCGCUUUCAGCAGGGACGAAAUUGACGGUACCUGCAGAAGAAGCCCCGGCCAACUACGUGCCAGCAGCCGCGGUAAUACGUAGGGGGCAAGCGUUGUCCGGAUUUAUUGGGCGUAAAGAGCUCGUAGGUGGUUCGGUAAGUCGGAUGUGAAAUCUCCAGGCUCAACCUGGAGGGGUCAUUCGAUACUGCCGUGACUAGAGUUCGGUAGGGGAGUGUGGAAUUCCUGGUGGAGCGGUGAAAUGCGCAGA
rnacentral:rRNA from 1 species